GAAAAAAUAGAUACAAGUAAAAGGUUGAGAAUUAUAUUGAAUGCAAAAUUGUUAUAUUAUAUCAUAAAACUAGUAUAUCUAAAAUUGUCUUCCUGAAAACUAUAUCAUUUAUUCCUCAAAGUAAAUUUAUAAUUUCAGAACAUAUUGUUUAUACCAUUCCCUCUACCCUCCAAUGGAAAUCCUAAGCAAUCCAGCAUUUUUUAAUUACAAAUUUUGCAUGCAAGUUCUUGAUUUAUUUAACUAGAGAACCCAGACACUACACACAUAAUCAGCUGCAAUUGCCAGUAUACGGGAUGCAGUUAGGUGACAAACUAGUCCAAACUUGAGUAAAUGACCUAUAUCUAACCAAUGUAUAUGUUGAAUAGAACUGGGGCUUCGUUGAGGUGGUAAAAGGUUCACAAGGAGUGUGGUGGGGUGAGUUUUGGAUAGCUAAUAAGUCUGAUUCUUAACAAGUAAGGAACCAAAAAAAGAAGCAGGUCAAAAUUUUAUCUUUCUUUACUAUCUUAUCCUCUGAUUGCAAUGGUUUCUACCACUAUCUUCAACAUGCAUUUGUAAUUUGUUAGGAAGAAAAUCAAAAGGCAACAGUAACAAGGUUUUGCGCUUAGUAUAGUUAUAAAAAAUCUGUAAGAUACAUUUCUGCUCCAAAAAUUGUGGGAUUCUAAAUUUAAGAGUGAUUUUGUAUGCAUGGAAGACUACAGAUACUGGCUACCACCGCGAAUCCCUACUUUCCUAAAUAAGCAAUAGCAACGCUACUGCCACCUGGGGAAGUGCAUCCUAACUCAACAAACAACAUGAAUAAAAGCAACACUGUAUUCCCUAACAAUUUGCCACCCUCUUGCUCCCCUAAUUUAAAACUGAAAUGGAAUUUGUCCAUGCAAUUUCAAGAUCAAUAAUUCUAUCCAAAUGAGCGAUCCAGCAACAUAAUUUCAAAGAACUCUUAAAGCAAUGUAUUAACAAAAUCACACGUUA
rnacentral:misc_RNA from 1 species